rnacentral:rRNA from 1 species
GACGAACGCUGGCGGCGUGCUUAACACAUGCAAGUCGAACGGAAAGGCCCUGCUUGCAGGGUGCUCGAGUGGCGAACGGGUGAGUAACACGUGGGUGAUCUGCCCCUUACUUUGGGAUAAGCCUGGGAAACUGGGUCUAAUACUGGAUAGGACCAUGCUGUAGGUGGUGUGGUGGAAAGAUUAGUUUCGGUAAGGGAUGAGCUCGCGGCCUAUCAGCUUGUUGGUGGGGUAAUGGCCUACCAAGGCGUCGACGGGUGGCCGGCCUGAGAGGGUGGACGGCCGCAUUGGGACUGAGAUACGACCCAGACUCCUACGAGAGGCAGCAGUGGGGAAUAUUGCACAAUAGGGGCAAGCCGGAUGCAGCGACGCCGCGUGGGGGGUGACGGCCUUCGGGUUGUAAACUCCUUUCAGCCAUGACGAAGCCCUUGUGGUGACGGUAGUGGUAGAAGAAGCACCGGCUAACUACGUG